AUUGAACGCUGGCGGCAGGCCUAACACAUGCAAGUCGAACGGUAACAGGAAGAAGCUUGCUUCUUUGCUGACGAGUGGCGGACGGGUGAGUAAUGUCUGGGAAACUGCCUGAUGGAGGGGGAUAACUACUGGAAACGGUAGCUAAUACCGCAUAACGUCGCAAGACCAAAGAGGGGGACCUUCGGGCCUCUUGCCAUCGGAUGUGCCCAGAUGGGAGUAGCUAGUAGGUGGGGUAACGGCUCACCUAGGCGACGAUCCCUAGCUGGUCUGAGAGGAUGACCAGCCACACUGGAACUGAGACACGGUCCAGACUCCUACGGGAGGCAGCAGUGGGGAAUAUUGCACAAUGGGCGCAAGCCUGAUGCAGCCAUGCCGCGUGUAUGAAGAAGGCCUUCGGGUUGUAAAGUACUUUCAGCGGGGAGGAAGGGAGUAAAGUUAAUACCUUUGCUCAUUGACGUUACCCGCAGAAGAAGCACCGGCUAACUCCGUG
rnacentral:rRNA from 1 species